rnacentral:misc_RNA from 1 species
CAGCCUGGGUAUUCCUCUCUCCAUCUUUCAGCCACUAAACGCCCAAGAACUCCAGGUCCUACAAUUAACAAGUCAUUUGCUCCAAUACCCCCCCUUGAAGAAGCCUCCAAUUCUUCACUUGGAGCGUCUAUAGCAGAGGAAGCGUUGGCUCGGAACGAAUUGGCCGGCAUUGCAUGUAAUGAAAGCUUGUGAAGAGUGAAUUUAGGGCUUGAAAUAGGGGGAAUCGAAAGCGAACACUUAAUAGAACGGUUGAAGAAGUGUUGCUGUGGAGGUUCGAAGUUGCAUUGAAUUCCAAUCAUGGAAGUUGCAG